rnacentral:rRNA from 3 species
CGCGGUAAUACGGAGGGUGCAAGCGUUAAUCGGAAUUACUGGGCGUAAAGCGCACGCAGGCGGUCUGUCAAGUCGGAUGUGAAAUCCCCGGGCUCAACCUGGGAACUGCAUUCGAAACUGGCAGGCUUGAGUCUUGUAGAGGGGGGUAGAAUUCCAGGUGUAGCGGUGAAAUGCGUAGAGAUCUGGAGGAAUACCGGUGGCGAAGGCGGCCCCCUGGACAAAGACUGACGCUCAGGUGCGAAAGCGUGGGGAGCAAACAGGAUUAGAUACCCUGGUAGUCCACGCCGUAAACGAUGUCUACUUGGAGGUUGUGCCCUUGAGGCGUGGCUUCCGGAGCUAACGCGUUAAGUAGACCGCCUGGGGAGUACGGCCGCAAGGUUAAAACUCAAAUGAAUUGACGGGGGCCCGCACAAGCGGUGGAGCAUGUGGUUUAAUUCGAUGCAACGCGAAGAACC